AAGUCGUAACAAGGUCUCCGUUGGUGAACCAGCGGAGGGAUCAUUACCGAGUUCUACACUCAUAACCCUUUGUGAACCAUUAUACCCUGUUGCUUCGGCGGCGCGCCUCCCCGGGGGCGUGCCCGCCGGUACAAUCAGUAUCUCUGUUUGAACCCGACGUUACAUCUGAGUGUUCUAAGCGAACUGUUAAAACUUUCAACAACGGAUCUCUUGGCUCUAGCAUCGAUGAAGAACGCAGCGAAACGCGAUAAGUAGUGUGAAUUGCAGAAUUCAGUGAAUCAUCGAAUCUUUGAACGCACAUUGCGCUCCCUGGUAUCCCGGGGAGCAUGCCUGUCCGAGCGUCGUUUCAACCCUCGAGCCCCCGUGGCCCGGCGUUGGGGCCCUACGUCUGUAGGCCCUGAAAAGCAGUGGCGGUCCCGCGUGGCCCUCUCCUUUGCGUAGUAGCAUUAGCCUCGCAUCGGGAGCCCGUGGGCGCUAGCCUCUAAACCCCCAUCAAGCCCGCUCCGGCGGCACAAGGUUGACCUCGGAUCAGGUAGGACUACCCGCUGAACUUAA
rnacentral:rRNA from 1 species